GAUUUUAUUGGAGAGAGAUGAGCCUGCGUUGGAUUAGCUAGUUGGUAGGGUAAGAGCCUACCAAGGCUACGAUCUAUAGCUGGUCUGAGAGGACGAUCAGCCACACUGGGACUGAGACACGGCCCAGACUCCUACGGGAGGCAGCAGUGGGGAAUAUUGGACAAUGGGGGCAACCCUGAUCCAGCCAUGCCGCGUGAGUGAAGAAGGCCUUAGGGUUGUAAAGCUCUUUCGCCGGAGAAGAUAAUGACGGUAUUCGGAGAAGAAGCCCCGGCUAACUUCGUGCCAGCAGCCGCGGUAAUACGAAGGGGGCGAGCGUUGUUCGGAAUAACUGGGCGUAAAGGGCGCGUAGGCGGGCGAUUAAGUUAGAGGUGAAAUCCCAGGGCUCAACCUUGGAACUGCCUUUAAUACUGGUUGUCUAGAGUUUAGGAGAGGUGAGUGGAAUUC
rnacentral:rRNA from 1 species